rnacentral:sRNA from 1 species
AUCAGUAUAAGAAGAAUUUCCUCUGGGUAGUGGCUGCUACUUGUUGUGAGUCCGGGGGAAAACACUAUUGGAGGUGACAAGAGUUCAAACUGCAAUGAUGUGCCACACUCACCCAGCUGCAUCUGAACUGAAGUGGGGCCCCAGCCAAGUCUUGCCUGAGAUCAGCAGACCCUCGAUGACCCACAAAAAUUAUCUGCUUAGGACACAGAAUUCAAUUACACCCAAACCCUGGAUGGAAUCAGAAUCAGAAUCAGCCAUGCAAUGAGGAAGAAGAAAUGUAAGUUGAGGCCUGUGAUUCCAACAGUUCUCUUUCUGGAAUGGCUACCAAGGAGAAAGGUAUGUGACUCUUCCUUUCAACUCUAAUGAUAUAAAUUUAAAUGUGAAAUUAACAAGGUACAAUCUAAUGAGUUAAGGAAACAAAACUGUUUCUGUAAGUCUACAGAUUGCUUAGCAAGAAGACCCUUUUCUCCUCUCCCCACUCCCCACCCCUACAACCCCUUCAGAAGUGUUCAUUAAACAGCCAUGAUACAGAAACAGAAAUAAGAAAACAAACAAACAAACAAACAAAACAACCACCAGGCA